rnacentral:misc_RNA from 1 species
GAUGAAGAACGUAGUGAAAUGCGAUAAGUAAUGUGAAUUGCAGAAUUCAGUGAAUCAUCGAAUCUUUGAACGCACAUUGCGCCCCCUGGUAUUCCGGGGGGCAUGCCUGUUCGAGCGUCAUUUCACCACUCAAGCCUCGCUUGGUAUUGGGCAACGCGGUCCGCCGCGUGCCCCAAAUCGACCGGCUGGGUCUUCUGUCCCCUAAGCGUUGUGGAAACUAUUCGCUAAAGGGUGCUCGGGAGGCUACGCCGUAAAACAAACCCAUUUCUAAGGUUGACCUCGGAUCAGGUAGGGAUACCCGCUGAACUUAAGCAUAUCAAUAAGCGGAGGA